rnacentral:rRNA from 1 species
UACGUAGGGGGCAAGCGUUGUCCGGAUUUAUUGGGCGUAAAGAGCGUGUAGGCGGCCAGGUAGGUCCGUUGUGAAAACUCGAGGCUCAACCUCGAGACGUCGGCGGAAACCCUCUGGCUAGAGUCCGGAAGAGGAGAGUGGAAUUCCUGGUGUAGCGGUGAAAUGCGCAGAUAUCAGGAGGAACACCCGUAGCGAAGGCGGCACUCUGGGCCGAUACUGACACUGAGGAGCGAAAGCGUGGGGAGCGAACAGG